AGGAAGAAAGGAGCUUUAAAACUGUGUCCUUUUCACUGGUUUAAUUAUGAAACUGUUAGGCAAAAUGGUAUAUUUAGUAUGGUUUAUAAUUCCAUUUAAUUAUCUUCUAAAACAAGGGAUUUAACACAGCAUCAGCUCCUCUGGUCUGAACUAAAAUAAAAGGGUUUUAUAUUCAGCAGUGAAUUCUUCAGUGUCUCCCAGUCUCCAGUUCCAUUAGGUAAGACAGGACCUAAAUGCAUUCAUUGAUAGACUGCAUCACACAUUGCUCUAGGUGACCCUGCCUUGGGACUGGACUAGAUGGUCUCUAGAGGUCCCUUCCAAGCCAAACAAUUCUGUGAUUUUACAUGACAGAGUAUUUCUUUCAUGUGAGUAGCCUUAAAUUCCUGAGCAUCCAAAGGAUCCAAUAAGUGAAGUGCUACGUUGGGGUUGUUCAGUACAAAAUAGUAAGGCCACAGGAUUUAGUUGGCAACGCCACUUCGUGCUCUUUUUCACCUGCUUCUUAAGCUGAAGAUCUUAAAUCACUUGUCCUGCACUUUCAAGUGCCACUGGUAAUUGCAGUUUCACAGUUGGUAGCUCUACUGCUUGGAUUUUCUUUGGUGAGUCAGAAUUGUCCCUCGUUUACGUAUCAAUAGGCUGACCUGAGUGCCAAGGUGACUUUUACUUCGCGGCGGUGGUGGCGUGGCUUGCGGCGGGCGGGGCAGUGCCGGUGUCCGGCUCCGGUGCCGGCCGCUCGGGGCAGCCCGUGGCCAGCAGAGGGCGGCGGAGAGAGCGCUCCGGUGCCGCCCUGGGCUCGGCUCCUGCUGCUCUCGGGGCAGGGCCAGCGUGAGCGCUCUGCCUCCCGCUGUCUGAGCACGGCUGCUGCCUGUCUCUGGCUGCUACUGCCGCAUUUUCCCGAGCUGAAAGAUAAACAUGUGUAAAGCCACAUUAAUUUUCAUUUUUGUCGCAGCUGGCUAGUCUUCAGAGCUUGAGUGCACAGUUCUGACACUCAAAGCAGGUGGACAGUCACAUGUUGUUAUCCUUACUGCCUAGUAGAGAGAAGAGUGUACCUUUUUCCAGGUAGUUGCUAGGUGGUCUGGCUUCUUGGUUAGCUGGAUCUUGGUGUUCAGUGUGUGCAUUUAUUCCUGUUUCACCUUUUUGAUCUUGCUGCUUUUUACAAGUUUUGUCCUGUUACUCUGUAGUGUGGUUGUGCUGGAGGAAUAACAUCACUGCCUUAUCCCACAAUUACUUUCACUAAAGCCAUUGAACUAUGAGUUUUGAAAGCUCCUAGUAAAAUAGUUCUGUAGGGCUGCUGCAGACUGUCUGAUCUGGAAAUGUAUAAAAGCACAUUACAAACAGCUGAAAACAGGGUUCUAUCUGAAGUGAUGGGUGGCUCUAGCUAUUGAUACUCUUCUUUUGUGUUUUACUAUCAUUUAUCAAAGUUACUGUAAUGCUCUCUGGGACCUGCUGAGGAGUUCAUACAAUUUUUUUGAAAGCAAAUGUUUAAGUGAUACUCCUGAGUGUACAUAGUGUUCCAAUUCUAAACUGUUACUUACAUAUUUCUACUUGCUGUGUGUUUAGAAUGGUGUUCUCCAUUACUUUAAAACAUGCUAAAACUUUGGUUCUAUUAGACACUGAAGUACUGAAUAGCUGUCUUCUGUUAGGAAGCAGAAAUAGCUUCUUGUGGAGUAUUCUCCAUGCAAAUACUGAAUAUUUUUUCUUCAGAUUGAGUUGAAUACUUGAAAUGGUUGUCAGGAUUUGGGGUUCUUGAAAUGACCAGGCUGCUUCUAUCAGAUGUGUCUGCAUAUUUCUGAAUAUUGUGGAAUGUUUUAGCUAGGUUUCUAUUGAGAAAAUAGUGGCUGCUGGCAACAUUUCAAAAUUAUUGCUUUUCUAUAUUUAUAGUAUUUCAGAAUGUUCUAGGAAGUUCCAGAGCUGGAAUUUGUAGCAUGCAGUGGAAAGAUUCCGUUUUAUGUGUCUGCAGCCUCUUUUCUCACAGCAGAUAAAAUGUAAUCUGUUUCAGUCAGAAGAUAAAUGUUUGAUGGUAGAGGAAGCACCUUGCUUGGAUAUCACCUUUAGUAAUAUCUCCAAGUUGCUCAAAACCUGGGGAAAAUUGUUCUCAUAGCUUAAUUGUAGAUACAUGAGAAUUUAAUGCAUUUUCUAAGAAAGAUUAUUUGAUUCUUGGUCAGAAUCAGUGACUGUCAAACUUCUACUCUUGCCUUACAGUUGUAUGUUAUAUCUUAAAUUAUUGUGUUUGUUUAUAAUUCUGGGACUGAAGAGUAUGGGUGUGUUAGAAUGUGAGUAUUUCUUGUUAAGGCCUCGUCCUCUUGCAAAGAAGUGUGUUGAAGGGACUCCUUAGCUAAUAAGUUGGAUUCAAGUACUGAUAUCUGCAGACUACUGUUCAACUAUCUUACUGACCUUGCUGUGUGCAGUAUCACUAGGAACUUUGCAUGGCAAGCUGGAAGAAAAAAAAGGAUUUACAUGGCUGGAACUGGCUUUGGAGGUUCAAGGAGUACAAUUUUUCAUGCUAAAAGAAUGUGUUUGUUUAGUAUAAAGCUCUGUGAAAUUGCCAAACAUUGCUCAUUGCUUUACAGUUCAGAAGCUCAAAAUUUUUAGAAGCUGUAUUCUGAAAACUUUUAGCAGCACAUAGAGUUGAAAAUUGCUUCUAAACUUAUGUAGCUUCACGUGCUGUAAGGUUUUGAAUUACAAAUUUGUAUUUAGAUUACUUGAAAAAAGAAUUGUGUCCACAUAUAAGGAAGUGUGAACUGGCUAGUAAAAUUGUAUGCUAAGUGCAUUGUGUGUAGUUGAGAGAAAGUUAUGUAGGGUUGCUUUUUGGUUUUCAUUAAAGUAGGAAGGAAUCUCACCACAUAUUUGUAGAAAUUACCUCCUCUGAACCAGGCUAGAUCCACUGUUUAUAACAAAGGCAGCUUAUUUUGAUUAAGGAUAAUUUAAUUUUAAAUGCUUGCAUUGAUUAUUAGGAACAAAGUUCUGAGGUUAACAGAAAAAGUUUGAAUUCUAGUGGUAGUAGAUUUUGAGCAAGGUUCUGGUAUUCUGAUCAUGGUCUUACUCUGAUCAUGAUCUAGGUAGUGAAAGGUAAUGCAGGGACAAACCUGAUGUUUGAAGUUGUUUGUAGCUCUGCAGCCCUUUAAAAAAUAAUUCAGAGCUGUAGUAAUUGAGCAGCUGCACUGGCCACCAGUGCCCGGAGCUUGGUGGCUCUCGCCGAGUGAGCGGUUGCGGUGUCUCUUGUGAUGCAGUUGUCUUUCACUGCCUGGUUUAGAGCAUAUGUCAUUGAGUCAUGUAGCAGGAAUCUGAAUCCUUUAACUGGAACUCUGGCCGUUUUUCCUGGAAAAGCUUUUAUGCAUUCUAUGAUUCCAUUGAAAACACUGAAUAAAUAGGCUGUGUCAGAACAUCGACAUGUUCAGUAAUGCAUAGAUGAAUGACCAAAAAUUACACCUGGCUGGCAGUUCAUCACUUUUUACAGAUGACUUUAUUCUGUUUUAGGAGUCUUGAAUUUCCUCUAGCAUGCUCUGAAAACACAAUAAAAAAGAAAAAGGUGGAAUUCUCUUGCAAUCAUAUCAAAAUGUGAAAUGUUAAUUGUGAAUGAUCUGCCCAGAGGGACAAAACUGAAUAAAUUACCAUGUUUUCAUUUGAUACCUUUGACUUGGAAACUAGAAAUCCCUUUAAGUGGAUAAAAUGCUUCCUCCAGAUCUAAAUUGAUGACAGCUCAGUAGUUAGCCGUGAAGAAAUCAUAGCUGCUUGGUAGUGAAAAAUUAGGAAGGUAGCAGGGAUAUUUCUAGAACGUGCAUAUGGCAAAUUCCCUCAAAGCAAGCCACUAAAAAUGAUAUCCCUGGAUUCCCUCUCCCUCCUUCUUGUCCUCCAAGUACAUGAGUGAACUGGCUGAAGACAGAACACAGACAUCAGUAAAACAAAGAAAUAAGAAGGAGUAUCCUGUAGCUGGGAAAUUGGCACAGUAAUGGGUCCUGGUGGUAAAAACUUGAUUCUUUGUGGUUUUAUUUUCUGCUGAUCUUGGUAUCUUUUCUGAAGGAGAGCCAUUGUGAGAACUGCCUUCCUUUCUAUCCGUUUUCCAAACCUAUGGAAAACAAAGGAGAGGAAACUGCAUUAGAGUUUGAAAUAGGACACCCUUUUAAAAAGUGACAAAGCCUUCUGGUCAUCCAGAUUUAUGACUUAGGCCUCUUUAUAAGGUGUAUGCUUUUGUAUUGGAUUUGUUCUUGUUACAGAGAAGCUUAAAGGGCAGUAAAGUGACAAUUGCUUUAGCCAGUAUUCUUCGAGGGGAGGGGACAUCUGCUCUGUGCCCCACUGCACAGGUCAGUGUCCCUGUUUACACACAUGAUAUUCCUCAUAACUGGCACAAACCUAGUAGUGGAAUCAUGGAGUGAAGGAACUUCUUAUGGCAGUUUUCUCCUAAGUGUGACUGAAGCAGGUAAGACACUGGCUGUUCUUGGGUUGUAUGUAGAUAGAUUCCUAGGACACCUUGUGCCACUCCCCUUUCAUCUUGUUUGUCCAAAAGCCAGUCUAGCCAGUUCCAGGAGUUAUUCAGCACAAAUAAACUCUUGCAGUAGCACAGGGCUGUGGUGCUUAAGUUGGUUCUGCUCAAACCAGGGCAGUGUGAGGGGAAUGGCAGAAUGAGGGGAACACACCAGCAGUGCCAGUAACACUAUUGAGAGAGAAUAAUUUCCUCCACCUCUGAGGUGGGGGUAGGGUGGCAGUCAGCACAGGUGAAUAUCAUUGCUGGUCAUCAGAGACCUCUAGGAUGUUAAAGGAGCUGUCUGAGAGAGAGUGAAUAAAGCUAUUAAGAUAAGCCUUAUGUACAGAAGGAGGAGAAAGGAGCUGAGAACACAAAACUCCUUAGCAGUGGCAAAAAAAGGGAGAUUAUGGAACAAAGGGGAAAUUCUAUACUGUUAUUUGAAUUAUAUUUCCUUUCUUCCCAGCUUUAACACCAUUUCUAUGGCUGACUUUAAAAUUGCAUCAAUUGACAAGUCUGUAGGUUAUGGAGUUGAACAGGGAUUUGGGAUGGGGAUUAAGGUUCUCUUAGGGUGAAGUACUCUUGAGUUCAGCUGUGUAGAUGAAAGGAGGUAGUUAGAUUUAACUUUCAGAUAUGGCACAGUGACAAUAUUGUUUUCUUUAUUUUGAGAAACUGAGUGAUUUAAUACGUAUGAUUUCACUCAGUCUUCCUUAUGCAUGGAUAAGGGAGUGUGCUUUUAUGCAGCUCAUUCUGUAAAGCUAUUGGGUUGCACACAUUCCUGCUUCCUCUGUUGUCACCCAUUCCCUCCCUCCACUCCCCCAGUGCAAGUUAAGACGUGGCCUUUAAUUGACUUGAUCCAAGAUGUACAAGGUUCCCUUCCUGACUGUCACAGUUAAUUGAUUUGCAGUUGCCUCUACUCGCCACCAUGCAUGUAAUCUCACCGCAGGAAUGAAAAUUUUGGUCUUGCCAUGUAAAUUGACUUUCUGCAAAGGCAACUGUUUCUGAAAUUCCACCCCAGUGCUAAUGUGUAUGUCUGUAGUUGUGUUAAAUAGUGAUAUUUGUUAGAGUUCUGUUUUUGAUUAAUAUUUCAGGCUAAGAAAACUUGGAUGGAGCUGGUGGAGAUGCUCUACUGGGUGGGAGCCAAAAGUCUUAACCACCAGCAGCGAGCGUUUCCUGCACCAGUGUAAUUAAGAUCAACAGCACUGAUUCUAGUCUGAUCUCCUUUUGCAGAAAGUUAAUUUUAAAGCACUGAACUGAAACAUGUAAGGUGUACGUUGAUGCUGCAGUCUGCCCCGUGUCUGACCAUCCAGUUCACCUGCAAUUGGUUCCUCAAGCUUCCUUCCUGCACUGGCCCUGGGUAUUUUCCUCCUCACUCUACCUCAACAGCCUGUUAGAGAUGACAACUGUUGCAGUGUUUCUUUCUCAAUGAUUGACUUAAUACAAGAGGUAAGAUACAAGAGUCAGAAAGAGGAUUUAACACAAAGCUUGAAAAUGCAGGCACUGCCCACUAAAGCAUUUUGCCACAUCUCUUGUUAGCAAUUCUUUUGGUCUAGUCACUCCCUUUACUCAUGGCCAGUUAAGACUUUGGAACAACAGUGGUUUUACUCAUUCUGAUCAUGUCAAGGACACAGAUCUCAGACCUAGGAAAUUUUUUUGCUUCAUAUUUUGGGGCUGGGGGGAUGACUCAGCCAACAUUUAACAGGUUGAUUGAAUUAGGAGGAGGUGGUUUUGGCACCAGCUUUGUCUCCUAAGGAUGUUUGUUCUCUAGUGGAAUUAAAUCAUGACACACCAUUCUCUCAUGUCCCAUCUUGUCAAAUCAUUCUUCUGUGGCCAUUUUAACAAUUGCUCAUUUCUGUCCCUUUUCCUGUUUUUUAAAAUCACAGAGACAUAAUAAGGAGAAUCCCAUGCUGAAGGUAAUUGAAAGCUUUCUGUAGGGGUACUGUAAAGACAGCUUUUGUCUGUGUGUGUUUUCCUACAGUCUUGGUAGUACUGUUGAGUCUGGAACCUCACUGGAGAGUGCAGUCAGUCAGUUAAUCCCAAUCACUUGUUUGAAGUCAGGUAUUUCACUACUUUACUCAGAGAGACUGUGUAAACUGAGAACAGCACAACCAUUCUAUAUUUCAGUUGGAUUAUAUAAAUUAAGUCUAAUCAAUAAGGUCAACUGAGUUGUUCUGUAGUCUUGAAAAAGAUAGUUUACAAUGAAAAUUAAGAUAAUGAGGAGACUGCUGUACAGGAAGAGAUGUAGUUUGCUGUAUUCAGAGUGUUUCUGCCCUUAACAAAGAUGAAAUCUUAGUUGUACUGCUGGUUGUGGUGCACAAGAGGAGCUUUGUCAACACAAA